rnacentral:lncRNA from 1 species
AUUUAUUAAACAAGAUAAACUCAACUGUCCGUUGUUAUGAAAGGUUUGAGCGCUUUUAUACAUAUGUAAUCCCGUCACAUGGUGUAUGUGCACGAACCAUGUAAGUAGCUGAUAAUUCAGAAGUUGUGGGUGGAAGCUACCUGCCAUUUUUGUCAAUCUAAGCGUCGAAAACAACUCGCAACUUUAGGGUUUUAGACUCAUAAUGUUUGUAAUCCUAGUCAAUAAGUGUUGAAAACAACUAAUGGGUUUAAGACUCAUAAUGUAUGCAAUCUCAGUCAAUAAGUGUCGAAAACACCACUAGUGGGUUUAAAAGUAUAAUCACAAAAAUACUCAACUCCGAGGAAUAUUUAAAACGGAAAGUCACUAAUUAAAUUGCAAAAUCAAACAAUAAAACAC